ensembl:lncRNA
ACCAUUUAGAAGAUUUUAUUAUAAAAUUAUUUCAACAUCUACAUCCAAGUAAAAGGCUUAAAGCUACAGCUCUACUUUCAGGAAUAAAAAUUCAGUAAAUGCUGAAAAAGAUGCUGUAUUAUUUAGGUAGGUAGCCCUUAAGAAAUUUUUAAUACCACAGAGAGUCCAUGUGAGUUUCUUAAGUGCUAUACACACCUCUGUCUGCACUGUGACUGUCUUCUGCAGCUUCUCCACAAGCAACAUUACAGAUGUGUUUACAGCACCCAUGUGCCUCAGCUGCUUUGAAACAGAUGUUACAGCACCUACCUGGAGUAGCUGCAGCUAUGCUACAGACAGACAGUAUACCAUAAGAUCACAACUCAUGUUCAAGCAUUACAGGGUGCAGACAGGUGUAAUUUGUGUUUACUUGAGAACAAUGACUACCUAGGUAUAUUUUUGUGACCUUGUAUCCGAUAAAAAUACUCAGGUAUACUAUGGCAGUUAAGGCAGCUUUUUCGCACCCCUAUAUUCUAGACAAAGGUAUUUCAUUUUUAUCAUCCAUUUCAUACACUGAGCUGAGCUCAGAAAUGAUCUGGUGAUUUUUGCUGACUGCAGCUUAUUCCCUGGGAUAAAAACAGCCUUGAUGCAGUACUGAAGUCAUUACACUCAGUAGUUAUCACCAAUACUUCUAAAUGUAAUCUUUAACAUUCCUUUUAAAAAUAUUUGGUAUUCACAGUAAAUAGAGUAUGGAGUGGCUUUCUCUCCAACAAAUACAAAUCUGUUUUAGAAAACUGUCACCUGAGCGAACAGGAUGCUUUAAAUACUGUACUUGCAGCUUCUUGCAAAGGAUCAUACUCACUUAAGAUAAUAAGCUAAUCAGUAAAAAAAAAAUUCAAGUAGUAUUAUACAGCCCUGAUGAACUUUGACUGGCCAGUUUGACAAUGUCCAAUAGUUUAACUUCUGUUGUUAAGUUUACCUUGCUUACAAGGGAGAAAAUGCACAAAGAAGAUGGGAAAUGCAGCAGCUUAUUGAGAAUGGAGUAUUUCCCCAACAGCUCUCUCCCACUGGCACUGUUCGUGUGACAAUUCCCCAUUGUUUCACUGUUCAUGAGAGUUAUUCUGUUGUUUUCAGUGCUGUUCAUCUUUCGAAAUUUCUCUUUCCUAAGCUCUUUCUACUGCAAUGAACAAUUCUUAGAAUAGAAUUCUAGUUUGACAGUACCCAUCCUGAAAAUCUUUCAAACAAACCUUCAGCACUCCUUGCAGCUUUCAGGAUGUAGAAGCCCCAUGUACUUCUUUGAGUUAGUGUCAAGUUUGUAUUGGACCACAAAUACAACAGGCAGAUUUUGGUUUAGUGUCCUGAGCCACUGAACUUCUAACAGCAAGACAAAAAGGAACCACAAGACCAUGUUUUAAACAUGCCAUUUCCCACAUCAUGCUUCCAUAAUACAGAUCACCAAAACCUUUCCAUUCAACUUGCAUGCCUAGCUUCAGUUCUUGGAAAAUCGUGACUUACUUGGCAUAUGCUUUCUGAUGUAGCCUAACCUUACAGCUGCUAUAACUGAGUAGCUUUCCAUUCCUUCCUGGUAUCUUUCGAAACUAUACUGAUUUCCUUCUUCAUUACCUUAUGCAUAUGAGGCUUACAUGGCUAGUUUUCCAUGAACAGCUUAACAUAAAAGAAACAUCUGGUGAUGUAACUCUCAGAGCAAGGUAUCACUUGAGAACUAUUAUGUUUGUUUGUUUUUUAAAAAACAGGAUUUCAUUCUACAUGGAAAACACUUCCUCCCUCCCC